rnacentral:rRNA from 1 species
UACGAAGGGUGCAAACGUUGCUCGGAAUCAUUGGGCGUAAAGCGCACGUAGGCGCCUUGCAAGUCGGAUGUGAAAUCCCACGGCUCAACCGUGGACGUGCAUCCGAAACUGCUCGGCUCGAGUAUGGAAGAGGGUCGCGGAAUUCCCGGUGUAGAGGUGAAAUUCGUAGAUAUCGGGAGGAACACCAGUGGCGAAGGCGGCGACCUGGGCCAAUACUGACGCUGAGGUGCGAAAGC